CCUAGUGAUGAUAGCGGAGAGGAAACACCCGUUCCCAUCCCGAACACGGAAGUUAAGCUCUCCAGCGCCGAUGGUAGUUGGGGCCAGCGCCCCCUGCAAGAGUAGGUCGUCGCUAGGC
rnacentral:rRNA from 1 species